AGAGUUUGAUCAUGGCUCAGAAUCAACGCUGGCGGCGCGCUUAACACAUGCAAGUCGCACGAGAAAGCGGGAGCAAUCUCGCAAGUACAGUGGCGUACGGGUGAGUAACACGUGGGUGAUCUACCUUUUAGUGGGGAAUAACGCUGGGAAACCGGCGCUAAUACCGCAUAAGCUCGAGAGAGGAAAGCAGCAAUGCGCUGAAAGAGGAGCCCGCGGCCGAUUAGCUGGUUGGGAGGGUAAAAGCCUACCAAGGCAAAGAUCGGUAGCCGGCCUGAGAGGGCACACGGCCACACUGGCACUGAAACACGGGCCAGACUCCUACGGGAGGCAGCAGUGGGGAAUCUUGCACAAUGGGGGCAAACCUGAUGCAGCGACGCCGCGUGAGCGAUGAAGCCCUUCGGGGUGUAAAGCUCUUUCGGCAGGGACGAUGAUGACGGUACCUGCAGAAGCAGCUGCGGCUAACUACGUGCCAGCAGCCGCGGUAAUACGUAGGCAGCGAGCGUUGUUCGGAGUUACUGGGCGUAAAGGGUGUGUAGGCGGUUUUCUAAGUUUGGUGUGAAAUCUCCCGGCUCAACCGGGAGGGUGCGCCGAAAACUGGGAGACUAGAGUGCGGGAUGGGAGAGUAGAAUUCCUGGUGUAGCGGUGAAAUGCGUAGAUAUCAGGAGGAAUACCGGUGGUGUAGACGGCUCUCUGGACCGCCACUGACGCUGAGACACGAAAGCGUGGGUAGCAAACAGGAUUAGAUACCCUGGUAGUCCACGCCCUAAACGAUGCAUAUUUGGUGUAGGUCAUUCAGUUGAUCUGUGCCGGAGCUAACGCGUUAAAUAUGCCGCCUGGGGAGUACAGUCGCAAGGCUGAAACUCAAAGGAAUUGACGGGGGCCCGCACAAGCGGUGGAGCAUGUGGUUCAAUUCGACCGCAACG
rnacentral:rRNA from 1 species